GGGAACCACCCCCACGCCAAAAACAGUACCCCAGGACUGAACCUAUCCUUGCAACAAAGCCCGAUGCCAACUCUGUCCACAUAUUUAUCCAAGUGACACCAUCAUGGGACCUAAACACA